rnacentral:lncRNA from 1 species
GUUGAGCCGAGAGACAUUUUGGAUGCCAUCUUGCAAAAUGAUUCCUUGCCUAGCUCUACUCCUAUCAGGAUACCACCUUGCUCCCCAGACACCGCACCCAUAUUUGCAGAGAUGAAUUGAAUGUGUUUCCAUGACAACACCAGAGGAGGAAGAGGGGCUCUGAGGCCCCGUAUGAUUUUCCUCUCCUCUCCACUGAGGCUAGCAUCACAGGCUGUGGAAGCUUCCCCCUGAGAGCUCUCAGCAGGAUGUGGAAAUCAGGAUGGUGAAUUUCAGCAUUGAUUUUAGGAGAUGAUAACUACCGCCGCCUUAACUUCAACUGUUUUCUGGACUACUUUCUUGAUUUAGUAGAGACUGGACCAGAAAGGCCUGAGUUGUGUGUAGGCUUGCAGUUCCAGACAUUUGGGGAUCUUGCCUCAGCAGGA